rnacentral:miRNA from 1 species
UGGAGGAACUUGAGACUUGGG